GAAACUCUGUGUGGAAAUAGGUGGUAAACC
rnacentral:piRNA from 1 species